rnacentral:rRNA from 1 species
AGCAGUCGCCGCGGUAAUACGAAGGGUGCAAGCGUUAAUCGGAAUUACUGGGCGUAAAGCGUGCGUAGGCGGUGAGUUAAGUCUGCUGUGAAAUCCCCGGGCUCAACCUGGGAAUGGCAGUGGAUACUGGCUCGCUAGAGUGUGUCAGAGGAUGGUGGAAUUCCCGGUGUAGCGGUGAAAUGCGUAGAGAUCGGGAGGAACAUCAGUGGCGAAGGCGGCCAUCUGGGACAACACUGACGCUGAGGCACGAAAGCGUGGGGAGCAAACAGGAUUAGAUACCCCCUGUAGUCCCUGUCUCUUAUA